UACAGAGGAGCCAAGCGUUGUCCGGAUUGACUGGGCGUAAAGCGCACGCAGGCGGUUGCGCGCGUGGGGUGUGAAAUCUGGCCGCUUAACGGCCAGGCGCCAUCCCAUACGGCGCGACUGGAGCGAUGCAGAGGUCGGUGGAAUUGCCGGUGUAGUGGUGGAAUGCGUAGAUAUCGGGAGGAACACCAGUGGCGAAGGCGGUUGCCUGGAGCUUUGCUGACGCUGAUGCGCGAAAGCGUGGGGAGCGAUCCGG
rnacentral:rRNA from 1 species